rnacentral:tRNA from 1 species
UCCCUGAUGGUCCAGUGGUUGAGACACCACGCUUCCAACGUAGGGGGUGCAGGUUCGACACCCAUUUAGGGAA